AAAAGCAGAGACAAUUGUUUCAUCGAAAUGUUCAAAGUAUCCGGCCUCUCAUCAACACAUUUCUCUCAUAGUUUGCCCUAAAUCAACACACCAACCAUCGACACUUCAGCACUAGCAUAGCUCCACCCACCGACAGUUUAGCACCUCCUCUUGCCGGCUCAUUGACGUCGCUCCAUCCCCCUCCGUCGACGCACCUCCUUACGUCGGCAUGGGAGUUUAGACCUAAUCGCAUCGCAUCGCCAUUUGGACCUAAUCGAAUAUGUACAAUUCACACCGAUGCAUAGAUCGUAGUCAUAUCUCUAUUCGUCUCUCCUUCUCCGUUCAUCGCGUCUACCAUUUCUUGUCAUUGCGUUUCUGGGAUGGUGAAAGCCUUUGCAGUAAAGAAUGGAUAUGAUUUGGAUUCAAGUCAACAGUUGUUUGGCCUUGGAGUAGCAACUUUUCUUGGGUCCUUUUUCUUAGUAUACCCUGCAACAUGUGAGAUUUCUUGUUAUUCUUCGCAUUAAAUCAUGUAUGGGUAAAGUGGCUGAAUCGGCAAUGAUGUCUAAAUAAAGUGUUGUUAUACAUAAGGUUUGUCUUUUUUCUAGACCGAAUAAAUCAUUUUGAAUGAGACUAAAUGACCAUUUUACCUUGCAUUAAAAAACAAAUUUCACGAUAAAUCAAUUAUAUCAUGAGAGGAAAAAAGAAGGGAAAAUAGUUAACUAGUUAGUGGCUUAAUGCAAGAAGCCAAUUUUUUUCCGACUUAACUCAUCAAGUCAUUCUUUCGCGAUUAGGUAAAAAAGAAAGUCUUGUAUAGCUUCUUGUGCUUAACAAUUAAGGAGAUUAAGCCAAAACAAAACAAGUGAUAUAACUUAAUAAUACAUGGAAAAUUUUAGUAGAUGCUUAAAUCAUA